AGUGGGGAAUUUUGGACAAUGGGGGCAACCCUGAUCCAGCCAUGCCGCGUGCGGGAAGAAGGCCUUCGGGUUGUAAACCGCUUUUAGCCGGGAAGAAAAGGCAAGGGUCAACACCUCUUGUUCUUGACGGUACCGGCAGAAUAAGCACCGGCUAACUACGUGCCAGCAGCCGCGGUAAUACGUAGGGUGCGAGCGUUAAUCGGAAUUACUGGGCGUAAAGCGUGCGCAGGCGGUUCGUCGAGUCUGAUGUGAAAGCCCCGGGCUCAACCUGGGAACGGCAUUGGAUACUGGCGGGCUGGAGUGUGGCAGAGGGGGGUGGAAUUCCGCGUGUAGCAGUGAAAUGCGUAGAGAUGCGGAGGAACACCGAUGGCGAAGGCAGCCCCCUGGGCUGACACUGACGCUCAGGCACGAAAGCGUGGGGAGCAAACAGGAUUAGAUACCCUGGUAGUCCACGCCCUAAACGAUGAUCACUGGGUGUUCGGGGAGCGAUCUCUGGGUACCGUAGCUAACGCGUGAAGUGAUCCGCCUGGGGAGUACGGUC
rnacentral:rRNA from 1 species